UGGGAUAGCUCAGUUGGUUGAGCACGAGACUCUUAAUCCCUGGGUCAUGGGUUUGAAACCCACAUUGGGUGAAAG